rnacentral:lncRNA from 1 species
CUUUCUCAGUUUGUUGUUUGAAUAUUAAAAUGAGAGUAUUGUAAUGUAAUGCAAAAUUGCAAAUUGAUUUGUUUAUUGAAGAAUUUUUGCUUUGUAUGUUUUCUUGUACUCUCUGUUAUUAGUUUCUACAUAUAUAUAUAUAUAUAUACACACAUAUUGAGGUAUAUAUAAUGACUUGUGAGGAACCAUGUUAAGAUUCUUGUAGAAAAAGUAGGAGAUAAUGUGUCCCUCUUUUAACUGUAUAUAGGAUCUCAUUUCGUGCUUAUAAUGUGUGUGCUUGCUGGUGCCUUUUUGCUCAGCUGCAUUUUUAUGUGCAUUGUUGGUGUACUCGUGACACGACCCACCCUAAAUUUCAUCCUGAAACCCGGAGUAAGUCGUGCGGGGACCACCUCCAAGGAAAAUUUACUGAAAAGAUUGAGAAAAUCUCCCUUGCAGAUGGACAACCCUAACUCGAAAAUUCUAAAUUUCACUCUUAAUUCAACACUUCCAAACAUCACAUAAUUAUCCUUCAGAAAUUCUACACAUAAUAUACAAUAAUCCCAAAGUAUUCAGAGCUACUAAACACAAGCGGAAGCAAGAAAACACGAGUAGGUUGAACAGGUAACCUACUGAAGAAAACUGGCAGAAAUGCGGGUGACUAUGCCUCGCCUCCUACUAGAUCCAACCCGAACUCUGCAGACUGGGCAAUUUAAAACGAAAGGCCCAGGGGAAAACAUUUAAUAACGUUAGAGUGAGUGGACAAAAAUAAAAUAAAGGAAAUAAUUCUUUAUGCUUUCCCCAAUUUUUACUUUUCCAUAGAAAAGAAAAUAUGCUGCAUGCGACAGCUCAAAACGCUCAACACGAAAACUGGAAUUUCAUGACUGGCACCGGCCAGUCUCCAACGCUCAAUAAAAUACAGCCUUUCAGGCUAAAAUAAAAUAUGUAUGUAUUACACUCGUCAUAUCCCUUGUAUGAAUUUUCUUAAAACAACUAAAACAAAUAGUAAAUUCACACAAGGCUACAACGCUUGCGUCUAACGCUCACGUUGCACCAUAAUGGCAUUUUACCUCAUUAUGGUGGAAA